rnacentral:misc_RNA from 1 species
GACCGAAGAGGGUGGUGGGUUCAGCUCAUUUGGAGCUUGAGAAGAAGGGUUUGGGUUUGAUGUCAAGUGGGUUGAGUCCUUCUGAGGAAAAAAAGUGUGAUAAGGGAACUGUUGUUGGAAAUGGCAAAGAGGGUCAAAUUGAGGACAAUGUAGCUGGUGAGCCACACAGCAAGGGUGAUGCCACAAAGGGCAAAGGGCGGAGAGGGAGGAAAAAGAAGGUGUUGGUUGCUUCUUCACCGGGAGGACAAACUAAGGAAGGACGUGAUGAUUUGGUAGGUUUUGAAGGUGGCAAAACAAUGAAGGUGGAGGAUGGCAUUGAUGCCAGUACCCAAGUGCAUGUUGAUGAAAGCAAUGUUAAGGGUCAGGAUACGCCUGGCAGGAGAGGCAGUGGAAGGAAAAGACUUAAAGUGGAUUAUACUGAAUUGCACGAAGAUGAAUUCACUGACGAUGAAGAAAUUGAUGCCAGAACUGAUCAGUGUGAGGUUAAGCCUGUAAGG